rnacentral:lncRNA from 1 species
CCGAGCCCGUCAGCAGACUUGCCUCCCGCGUGGAGGCCCCUGCCGCAGGAGUGACCAGCCCAUUCCCACGGGGCCCAGCUCGGCAGCCUCUGCCCUGUCUUCUUUCACACAAGCGCGCGCUGAAGAGCAAGGGCACGAGAGUGAGGCCUGCAGAGGAUUGUUAUAACAGACGUGAUACAUGCAAAAUGCCUGGCCCAGAAUAGGAGCACGUGACGGUCCUGUAAGUUGGUUCACUCAAAAUCUAUUCUCCAACAUCUCCUUCUUGGCCUUCCUCUACUAGAGAAGAGAGAAGAGGAAAUGAUACUCAAGCUUCCAGCUCCCCUGUACUUAGGGGUGGCCACAAAACCCAGCUACGGCCAAUGAGAGGAAGGUAGAAGUCCUUGACUUUUCCAAAUCUAAAAGCAGAGCUUCUGAGCAGCAAGUCCUUACUCCUCUGUUCUUCCCUCAUACCUUCUUGCCUGGAACUCAACUUGAGGGUAGAGGUAGAGCAGCCAUCUUGUAGUCAUGAGGUAACGAGCACAGAUCAGAAGUGAAGAAUGAUGGGGUAGCAAGACAAAAAGUACUGAGUGCUUAAUGACAUCACUGAGCCACUAUUUUAGCCCAUGGCUACCUGCCCAGAAAUUUAUUGUUGUGUGAGACAACCGCCUUCCUGGUAUGAGCCAAUGUUUGUUGGGGUUUCUGCUAUGUGAAGCAAAUGCAAUCAAUAACAACAGCUAUCAUCACCAUCAUCAUCCCCACCACCAUCACCGCUAUCAUCACCAUCUCUGCUCUCCUGCAUCUGCAACAACCUCCAGCUCGCAGCUUUAGAUUUUAUUAUCUAAUUGGGAGCCAAUUAAGACUUACUAAAUGAACCUCUGAAGUGUCAUUUCCCAGGGAGUAUUCCAAGAAACAUCGGUUCUUCCAGAUAUUAAUAGAUGUUCUGAGAAAAGAAAAAGCUGCCUGGUUAAGUGAACAAAUGGUGGGACCUGGCAGAGAUGGUUAUCCCAGCGGUUUCCCGUUGGUAUCCUCUCUGGGAGCUUUGCAAAGGAUAUGCCUAAAAGGGAACUUGCAAAGAAUCCAUGUCAGAGCCCCAACUACCGUAAAUACUCUUUCCAAAAAUCCCUAUAUCUGAGGACUCCUUGCUAUGGUUCUCCUCUCUCCCGCCCUUCCACCACGUCCAUCCUCCCUCCAUACAAAAGAAAGGCGUGCUGCCCAUUGGAUCAGAAAUCCCCCGGAGCGUUCCCGUGCAGGGUCGAAAUGCCUGUGCUGCGAAGGACAAUCCCAAACCUGGGGUUUCACUGGACUCUAAUGACCAGGUCAGCCUUUUACAAGUCACGUGGUUG